CGCUGGCGGCCGUGCCUAAUACAUGCAAGUCGAGCGGUAAGGUCCCUCCAGGUUGCUUAAACGAAAGUUUGAGGAACGCGGUGGGAUACACGAGCGGCGGACGGCUGAGUAACGCGUAGGAACGUACCCCAAACUGAGGGAUAAGCACCAGAAAUGGUGUCUAAUACCGCAUGUGAUCUCCGGAUUAAAGCUUCGGCGGUUUGGGAACGGCCUGCGUACGAUUAGAUAGUUGGUAGGGUAAUGGCCUACCAAGUCGACGAUCGUUAGCUGGUCUGAGAGGAUGAUCAGCCAGACUGGGACUGAGAACGGCCCAGACUCCUACGGGAGGCAGCAGUAGGGAAUUUUCCACAAUGGGGGCAACCCUGAUGGAGCAACGCCGCGUGCAGGAUGAAUGCCUUCGGGUUGUAAACUGCUUUUAUAUGUGACGAAUAUGACGGUAGCAUAUGAAUAAGGAUCGGCUAACUCCGUGCCAGCAGCCGCGGUCAUACGGAGGAUCCAAGCGUUAUCCGGAAUUACUGGGCGUAAAGAGUUGCGUAGGUGGCACUGUGUGUCAGUAGUGAAAGCGAGGGGCUCAACCAUAUAUACAUUACUGAAACUGCAGAGCUAGAGGGCGAGAGANGUUACUGGAAUUCCCAGUGUAGGAGUGAAAUCCGUAGAUAUUGGGAGGAACACCGAUGGCGUAGGCAGGUAACUGGCUCGUCCCUGACACUAAGGCACAAAGCGNGGGGAGCAAACGGGAUWAGAUACCCCGGUAGUCCCCCGCNGUAAACGAUGAAUGCUAGCUGUUAAAUNUAUCGNCCCCUGUAGUAGCGAAGNUAACGCGUUAAGCAUUCCNCCUGUGGAGUACGGUCGCAAGANUAAAACAUAAAGGAAUUGNCGGGGNCCCGCNCAANCGGUGGAGNGUGUUGUUUAAUUCGAUGGUAAACNAAGACCUUUACCCAGGCUUGACAUCNUCGGAAUUUUGUCNAAANACNAGAGUGCNUUCGGGANCCNAGUGNCAGGUGUUGCAUGNCCGUCGUCAGNUCGUGUCGUGANAUGUUUGGUUGAGUCCAUCAACGAGCGCANCCCUUAUAGUCUGUUGUAUUUUUCAGGNUAGACUGCCCCGGUAACGGGGAGNAAGGGGGGGAUNAUGUCAGGUCAGUAUUACCCUUACGUUUGGGGCUACAAACACGNUACNAUGGCCGGUACAAAGGGCAGCCAANUCGCGAGACGGAGCAAAUCCCAUCAAAGCCGGUUUCAGUUGGGAAGCAGGNUAAACUU
rnacentral:rRNA from 1 species